CAAAAAUGGCUAAAAAGUGCCAAUUAGCAGUGAAAGUGAAAGUGAAAGUAAGCACGUAAUGGGGAUUCAGGGAACCUCGCAGCCAAGACCUGACGGCACUCACAGGUGUGCCAGGCCCUCAGAGGCACCGUCCCUUCUCCGGGACAGGAGCGACAUGCCUUUACAGCCCUGUGUCUCCCUUGGAAUGAGAAUGGCAUCUGCCAGUGAAGCCAGAGAUGACCUCCAACACUUUCCACAAGCGCAUCUCAAACCAACACCCUGGUGUUAGACACAAACCUCCUCCAGGUGAAGGGUUUCCUGCAACACAGCAUGUAAAAGGUGGUUCACAAUAGCAGAAGUGUCCUCAUUACCUGGUGACAAGUUCCUGAGCACCAGGUGACUGCACUGCUGGGUUGGUAGGAAUUGCAAAAACCUCAGGCAGCCUUCAGAGGCCAGGCUGUGUGCAAGGGAUGGAGGUGUCACAAGAAGGUGGCAUCAUUUAAUGAAGGUGACGUGUGUCACACAGGUAACUGUAAACCAGCUGUGAUUCCAUCUCUCCUAUAAACCUGUGGAUGGAAACUGAUGCACUAUUAGUACACUUGAGGACUGAGAGAACCCAUCAACGACCAUCACAGACUUCCUGUCCUUCUCCAGGAGGAUUUCCACCACUCUUUCCCCAUCACGACACUCCACAGACUGACGAGGUCAAGGCUAUUUGGGAUCCAUUUGGUCAGGAGUUGUAAGUUACACAUCAAUUGUCUCCUGCAGGCUGGGAGUUUAUCCCAGCAGCAACUAUUGUUGAGCAGCUGUGAGAUUUACACCACAUUUCCAAAAAUAUUAUUUCUCAGUGUGAUUUCUGUCUGAAUUGGGCAGAAAAAUAUUUAAUGGCUGGCAAAACAUUAGUAAAUAAAAGCAGAUCAAGAUGA